UACGGAGGGUGCGAGCGUUAAUCGGAAUUACUGGGCGUAAAGGGCGCGUAGGCGGUGGGUUACGUCUGCCGUGAAAUCCCCGGGCUCAACCUGGGAAUGGCGGUGGAAACGGGCUGACUGGAGUAUGGGAGAGGGUGAUGGAAUUCCAGGUGUAGCGGUGAAAUGCGUAGAGAUCUGGAGGAACACCAGUGGCGAAGGAGGUCACCUGGCCCAAUAUUGACUAUGAGGCGCGAAAGCGUGGGGAGCAAACAGG
rnacentral:rRNA from 1 species